AUUGGGGUAUAGUUAUUUUCUUAAAAAUAAAAAAAAUAUUUAAAAGGAAGAGUUUGUGAAGAAAAUUAAACUAAGGAAUUUAAUUAAAAAUGUAAUUAAAAUGUUAUCAGUUUGAGGGAACUUAGGGCAAGAAAUUCACCACUAACAUCGGAACAAGGGUUAAUUGUAUUUCAAUUUAUUCUUGGAUUAACAUGCAAAUUGGCUACAAGCCUAAUAAGCAUUCGAAUAAAAUUUCACAAAAGUAAUUUAGGCAUAAUCCAUCUUUAGUUAGCAUGAAAUGUCUACCCUAAUCUAAGGUGGCAGCACAUCGCAUCUUCCUUAAGCAUGAACUAUCUUAUUUUACUUUAAUGAUCAUAUAGAGCUGUUGUAUAAACAUCAUACUUAAAAUCACAGAAAUUAAAUAUGAGAUGAAAUAAAAUAUUCAUUAGGAGCAAAAUAAAGUUUAUACAACACCAGAAAUAGAAAAUUAAAAUAUAAAACCCUUGGCCCUUUGUUAGGGCUGCAUCCGCCCUAGUGAGGAGAUCAGCCUUCCAUGGAGUCGUGGGCGACGGCAGCAGCGGCACAGUAGCGGGCUCCCAUCUGUAUCACAAUCGGCUUCCUCUCUUCCUCCCUCAACACUUCAUUCUUUAUUUAUAUAUAUAUAUAUGGGAAGUUAUUCCCAAAAUAACCAAAAAUCUUACUCUCACUCAUGCAUUCUGUGGGAAGUCACCUGAGAAGAGCUUGAGAUCCGCCGGCUCUCUCCCUCCGAAUGCCAUCGUCUUCAU
rnacentral:lncRNA from 1 species